UCCAUUCCUCAUUUGUUUUUAUAGAACUUUUUGAUGUGUGUGUUUUGUGCUAGGGAUUCCAACAUUGAGCCAAAUUGAGGAACCAUUACCAUGAGCUUCCAAGAGAGAGAGAUCCAAGAUGCAUUGAGGGGAUUUCCGAGGGUUCAUUUGAUUGUUGAUUGCUUGAGUUUAUGCUUAUGUGAUUGCUUAUUCCAAAGGAUGGGAGCUAGUUGGAUCAUCAAUAUGAUCUCAAGAGAGGAACUCCAUUGUGG
rnacentral:lncRNA from 1 species